rnacentral:misc_RNA from 1 species
GUGAUGCAUGUCUUUGAUGCAAUAUUGAUACGCCUGAUGCUGUACUGAACCAUAUGGAAUUGGGGUCGGGGUGUUUAAGGUUUCAAGACAAAAUGGAUGAAGUAAUUAUAUGAAUGUGAAAACACAGUCAUAAUUUAUAUCUCAUUUCUCUAUACUCAUUUGUGACUGUCCAUAGUCUCAGCUCAUUACAAAGGCUUCUGACUGAGUUUUUAAAAAAUGUACUGAUUAACAGAUUCACUGUUACUCAGGAAAACUGAUAAUCAUGACUGAAGAAGAAGGGAAAGGUCUCAUUGCCACUGAGAAGACCUUUGAAGAACUUGCUAGGGAAUACUUGGGAGACACUGUAGGGUCUGGUACAGAUGAUGCGGAUCUGGAUGAACUGGCAGACAAGUAUUUGACAGACUUGGACACAUCUCCUGACUCAGCAUUGAAGACAUACAGUUCAGACUGCAGCAAGGUUGUGUCGGAGAAACCAGCCUCAUCCAGUGAAAUGACAGAAGAUGCUGCAGUGACACUAGUUCUUCCCACUGCUUUGGAUUCUCCCAACAAGAGGAAGUCUCCAGGUUCUCCUUCAUCACCUGAUAGGAAACAGAGGAAAACUGGGAUUCUUGAAAUGAAGGAUGGGACCAAAGAGAAACUCAGUGCCACAGUUUCACCAACAGUAACAAGUACAAAUAACAGUAAUGCAGCACCUGAAACUGAAGGAACACAAGAGGGAGACAAAGAUGAAAUGGCUAAACAAGUGGGAAAAAAGUCUUUGUCAGGUAGACCCAAAACAAAAGAGUACCAUUCAGGUGGUCUGAGGCGCAGUAAUGACACAAGACACCAACGGGACAAAUAUUCCAGGGAUGCUGCUAGUAGAUACACUAUGUCAGGACAGAGAGAACAGGGUAGGAGAGGGCUUCUGGGACACUGUCCUCCCAGCCUUAAUGUUAUGGCCAGACCGGAGAACCAGAACAGGAAUGGACCAAGAGGAGGUAGUCAUGAUCAGAAUACAUCAAGAUGGAACGGUGAUCGAUUAGCUUUGGAUGCUAGUUGCAACGAGGGGCCCUGGGGAGAAAAAAGAGAAAUUGGUAGGACAGAAUCAAAUUUUGAGCAUCCUUUCCAAGACAAGUUUGGAAAUAGUGAUGGAAGAAAACCUUUUCAUAGAACAGCUCUUCAUAGAAAUGAAUAUGUGCCUUCUGACUUGUACAGGAGGGAUGGUUUGUUAGAUCGUCCACCUCAACCAUCAUUCAAUAGGGAUGAGAAUAGUCGGAGAAAUGGUCUGUUAGAUCCUCCACCUCAACCAUCAUUCAAUAGGGAGGAGAAUAGUCGGAGAAAUGGCCUGUUAGAUCCUCCGUCUCAACCAUCAUUCAAUAGAGAUGAAAAUAGUCGGAGAAAUGGUCUGUUAGAUCCUCCACCUCAACCAUCGUUCAGUAGGGAUGAGAAUAGUCGGAGAAAUGGUCUGUUAGAUCUUCCACCUCAACCAUCCUUUGGAAAUGAUGAGAAUUUUCGGAGAGAUGGUCUGUUGGACCCUCCUCAAAAUCCAUUCAGUAGGGAUGAGAAUUUCAGAAGAGAUGGUCUGCUAGACCCUCCUCAACCACCUUUCAGUAGGGAUGAGAAUUAUCGGAGAGAUGGUCUGUUGGACCCUCCUCAACCAUCAUUCAAUAGGGAUCAGAAUAUCAGGAGAGAUGGCACUUUUGAUCCUCAAGCAUUUUUCAGUAGGGAUGAGAUAUGUAGGAGAAAUGGCCCAGUUGACCAGCCUCAACCGCCAUUCAAAAGAGAUGAGAAUUUUCGCAGAGAUGGUCUGUUAGACACUCCUCAAGAGUCUUUGAAUAGGAAUGAAAAUUUUAGGAGAGAUGCUCUGUUAAACCCUCCUCAAGAGUCAUUGAAUAGGAAUGAAAAUUUUAGGAGAGAUGCUCUGUUAAACCCUCCUCAAGAGUCAUUGAAUAGGAAUGAAAAUUUUAGGAGAGAUACUUUGUUAAACCUUGGUCAACCACCAUUCAAUAUGGAUGAGAAUUUUCGCAGAGAUGGUCUGUUAGACCCUCCUCGGGAGUCAUUCAAUAGGGAUGAGAAUUUCAGGAAAGACCAUCUGUUAGAUCCUCCAAGACCAUCAUUCAGUAGGGAUGAGAAUUUUAGGAGAGAUGGUUUGUUAGACCCUCCUCAAGAAUCUUUGAAUAGGAAUGAAAAUUUGAGGAGAGAUGCUUUGUUAGACCCUCCUCAACCUCCAUUCAAUAGGGAUGAGAAUUUUCGCAGAGAUUGUCUGUUAGACCCUCCUCGGGAGUCAUUCAGUAGGGGUGAGAAUUUCAGGAAAGACCAUCUGUUAGACUCUCCUCAACCACCAUUCAGUAGGGAUGAGAAUUUUAGGAGAGAUGGUUUGUUAGACCCUCCUAAACCUCCAUCCAAUAGGGACGAGAAAUUUCGCAGAGAUGGUCUGUUAGACCCUCCUCAAGAGUCAUUCAAUAGGGAUGACAAUUUCAGGAGGGACCACCUGUUAGACCCUCCAAAACCACCUUUUAAUAGGGAGGAGAAUUUUCGCAGAGAUGGUCUGCUAGACCCUCCUAAGGAAUCUUUGAAUAGGAAUGAAAAUUUUAGGAGAGAUGCUCUGUUAGACCCUCCUCAACCAGCAUUCAGUAGGGAUGAGAAUUUUAGGAGAGAUGGUUUGUUAGACCCUCCUCAACCUCCAUUCCAUAGGGAUGAGAAUUUUCGCAGAGAUGGUCUGUUAGACCCUCCUCAACCACCAUUCAAUAGGGAUGAGAAUUUUCGCAGAGAUUGUGUGUUGGACCCUCCACAACCACCAUUCAAUAGGGACGAGAAUUUUCACAGAGAUGCUCUGUUAGACCCUCCUCGAGAGUCAUUCAAUAGGGAUGAGAAUUUCAGGAGAGACCAUCUGUUAGACCCUCCAAAAUCUUUUAAAAGGGAUGAGAAGUUUCAGAGAGAUGGUCUGUUGGACCUUCCUCAACCACCAUGUCAUAGGGAUGAGAAUUUGAGGAGAGAUGGUCUGUUAGACCCCCCUCAAGAGUCAUUGAAUAGGAAUGAGAAUUUUAGGAGAGAAGGACUUUUAGAUCCUCAACCAUCUUUUCAUAGGGAUGAGAAAUUCAGAAGAGAUGCUCUGUUGGCUCCUCCUCGUGAGUUAUUGAAUAGGAAUGAACAAUUUAGGAGAGAUGCUCUAUUAGACCAUCCUCAACCACUGUUUAAUAGGGAUGAGAAUUUUCAGAGAGGUGGUCUGUUAGACCAUCCUCAACAGCUGUAUAUAAGGGACAAGAAUUUUCAGAGGGAUGGUCUGGUAGAUCCUCCUCAAGAGUCAUUCAAUAGAGAUGAGAAUAUCCGGAGAGAUGGCCUGUUAGAUCCUCCUCAACCACCAUUCAAUAGGGAUCAGAAUAUCAGGAGAGAUGGCCUGUUAGAUCCUCCUCAACCACCAUUCAAUAGGGAUCAGAAUAUUAGGAGAGAUGGUCUGUUAGACCCUCCUCAACCAUCCUUCAGUGGGGAUGAGAAUUUUCAGAGAGAUGGUCUGUUAGACCCUCCUCAACCACCAUUCAAUAGGGAUCAGAAUAUCCGGAGAGAUGGCCUGUUAGAUCCUCCUCAACCACCAUUCAAUAGGGAUCAGAAUAUCAGGAGAGAUGGUCUGUUAGACCCUCCUCAACCACCAUUCAAUAGGGAUCAGAAUAUUAGGAGAGAUGGUCUGUUAGACCCGCCUCAACCACCCUUCAGUGGGGAUGAGAAAUUUUGCAGAGAUGGCCUGUUAGACCCCCCUCAACCUCCAUUAAAUAGGGAUGAGAAUAUCAGGAAAGAUGGUCUGUUAGACCCUUCUCAACCACCGUUCAAUAGGGAUGACAAUUUCAGGAGAGGUGGUCUGUUAGACCCUCCUCAUCCAUCAUUGAGUCUGGAUGAGAAUAUGCAGCCUCAGUUGGUAGCUAAUACCUUAUACCAAACAUUUGCUUGGGAUGAGAACAUGCAGGCCAUGUUGUUCAACAGAACAGAUAAUCAACUGGAUACCCCACACCCACCCAUAACAUAUGAUGAGAAUGACAGAAGAGAUGCUCAACUAGAUCCCCUACAGCCAACACUUAGGGAUGAGAGCCAGAGAGAUGGCCUGUUACCUCCCCCUCUCCCAGUAUUCAGUGGGAAUGAGCCCACACCAAACAGAAGAGGUCUGUUAGAUCCCCCUAUUGCCAUGACUCUCAGUGGAGAUAUGUGUCAUUUUGAUAACAGACGUGAUGAUUAUGGACACCUGGCAUGCAGAUCACAACCUAAACCUCAUCUUCCAAGAGGUGAACAAGGCAAUGGUGGACAGUCAGUGAAUCAGGGGCCUCAACCUGUGCAUGUUAUAGAGCCCCCCACAGCAUCUUGCAGUGUACAAGCAGAACAGAGGAAGGAUGCAAGGAAACCUAGAGCGUUCAGACGAGGUGUGAGUGUACAUGAAUUUGUUACGAAGGUAGUAUUGACUACAUUCAGCACUACUAGAAGUGCUACAUUGACAGCUGGAAAAUAUAGUGUUCCAGUGAGCUGUAAGUCAGCUGUUCCCCCAGAAAUCAACUUUGAACUGUUAAAAAACUUCCAAGGAGUAUUCAAAAGGCAAACACUGUGUUAAUAGACUGUCAGCAAUGGCUUGCCAGAGGUAUGACACCAUUAAUUACACAAGUAAAUAUGUUCGGCAAAGCACCUCAGACUCCAGCUGAGGUUUGUCGGAGAACGACUGAUUCAUUGAGGAUUUUAGCCUGUACCUGUGUCAAUAUCUCCAAAGGGAGACGACUGCUGAUGAGAUGUCACCUUCCAGAAAAAUAUGGAAUCUUGUGCAGAAUGUCCAAUUCUAUCACUAGCUCUUUGUUUGGUGAUAAAGUUGAUGAAGAUAUUCAUUCAAUACAGAUGGGAACCUCUAAGAUCAAAAUGCUAACUGGACCCAAUGAAGAGACACACAUUCCAAAAGUUAAGACUGAUCUUCUUCGUGAUGAAAACAUUGAUGAAAAUGUAGCCAGUAUGGUCAACUUGGCAUGCACAAAAGAGGGAAUUGUGAAAGAUUUGCGAGAAAAAUAUAAGAUACCUUCUAACCUGAACUGCAUGAUACCCCCAAAGCUAAACCCGGAGAUAUCUAGUAUGCUUCCUGUGGCUUGUGUGGACUUGGACACCAAGCUCCAAGAUGUCCAGUUGUCCACAUCUGAAGCUAUGGUGCCUGGUGUCUACUUGCUGGAGAGAAUACAUGAGAAGAUGUAUAAUGACAGUGAGGCUUUGAAGAUGCUGACUGAUGCCUUAGCUCUCUUGGGAGAUGCUAUGUUUCAGUAUAAUAACCUACGGAUGGAACUCUUUAAGGAGAACCUGCCAUUGCAGCUUCAGCAAGAGUGUGUUUGGAGUAGUACAGAGGAUGAGAGUAUGGUUCCAGAUUGUGAAAAAUGAGCUAGUCAAUGUUUGGGUCAAAAAGAAGAGGGUGAGUUCAUGAGAGAUGUCACAGGAAAGAUUAUUUUAUGCAGACAGAUGAGAUUAGGAAAAAGAUGUAGGAAAGGUGAAAGCUACAGAUGAGGUUAGAUGAAGGGGGACAGAUGAGGUUGGGAUGAAGGUGUGCAUGAGGUUAGAUGAAGGGGGACAGGUGAGGUUAGGGUGAAGGUGUGCAUGAGGUUAGAUGAAGGGGGACAGGUGAGGUUAGGGUGAAGGUGUGCAUGAGGUUAGAUGAAGGGGGGACAGGUGAGGUUAGGGUGAAGGUGUGCAUGAGGUUAGAUGAAGGGGGACAGGUGAGGUUAGGGUGAAGGUGUGCAUGAGGUUAGAUGAAGGGGGGACAGGUGAGGUUAGGGUGAUGGUGUGCAUGAGGUUUGAUGAAGGGAAAUGAGCAGAAAAUGUGGUUGUAGGAAACGUGUGGGAACAGGAAAGUGAUAUGGGUACAGGUGAUGUUAGCAGAAGGGGAAAGUUGAGGUUAGAGGUAAGGUGUACUUGAGGUUAGAGUUUUCAGGUAGGUGAGGUUAGAUGAAGGAUGUCAGUGAGGUUAUCAAAUUUAAACUUUAAAAAAAAUGAAUGCUUGUGAUACAUGGAAAGGAUUAACUGUAAAAAGAAAGUAUUUGUUUCUAUUGUAAUUUUUAGUCAUUGCAGCUUUUUGUUUAGAGUUGUGUCCCUUAGGUUGCAGGAUGCACUGAUUGCGAUUUGAUAAUAGGAACCACACCCAAAUUUCAGUUCUUUGCCAGUUUAUUGUCAUCAUUUAGUUACCGGUAUCCUGUUGCGUCUUUGUGUGAAACAUACAUCCAGUCGACAUUCAGCCCCCUAUUCCACAAAGGUGUUCAUAGAGCUAUGAUAGUCAUGAGUUGAUUAAGGGAGUUACAACAGUCAUAGUUUUAUGAUCUUGUGAAUCAUUGCUGUUUCCUGGUGUGAUUCUUUAUCAUGCCAUCUAUGUGUGAAAUGUGGAUCAGAUGCACAGUGCUUGGCCUUGCUGAUAAUGUGUUGUAUCCACAUGUAUGAAUGUCUUAAACAUUUAUUUCUCUGUAUGUACAUUAUAUGAAACUUGUUUCUCUCCUUUGAUAUUGACAUGAUUUUGUUAAUAUAUGAUGUUAACAUCAGGGAUGGCAACAGGAAAUCUAUUUUCAGCUGAAAACUUAAUAUUGUGUCAUCGAAUGGGUCAUUUGAAUUGAUCAAUUUGAAAUAAAAUAGUCGGAAAUCCGCAGAUCAGCGGAAAAUUGCCAUCCCUGUAAUAUUGGCUACAUUUUAAUAUUUAGACUAUUCAUGUUCUUGAGGGAGAAUUGAAAUUUGUCGAUAGAUAAACAUGGUUUGUAUAUAUUGUCUGUGUUAAAGUAGUCAUGAUUAACAUUGGAAUGUACAAGAAUACAGGAAUGAAACACUUAAUGAUUUUUCCUGGUGCAGAAAUGAGUUUAAUGUGCUCCAAAUUUUGUAUGGCAAUGUAUGUUGUCUUUUACAUCAUUUAUGGAAAGCUUUAUCAAGUAAUGCUUUUACGGCAAAGUUAACAGUUCAGCAGAGACAAGAAUAUUCUUUUUAGAGUUAAUUUCAUGCAAUGAUUCUCAUAUAGAUUUUGAAAGAAAUAUGGGAAUCUCUAACAUCAAGUCUUUGUUUAGGAUUUCUUCCAUCUGCAAAAGUGCUGAUGAAAUUUUAGGCACAUCCCCACAGCUCUCUAGCGAUACUUUGUGAAACUGAAAUGCUGUCGAAAGGGGCCUUAAUCUAUUACUCAGGAAGACCACUCAACACACUUGUAUUCCAUUUCCUUGUUUUCUUUUCAUAUUAAACAUUAAUUGUGAA